UACGGGGGGAGCAAGCGUUGUUCGGAUUUACUGGGCGUAAAGGGCGCGUAGGCGGCCACCGCAAGUCGACUGUGAAAUCUCCGGGCUUAACCCGGAAAGGUCAACCGAUACUGCGGGGCUAGAGUGCAGAAGGGGCAACUGGAAUUCUCGGUGUAGCGGUGAAAUGCGUAGAUAUCGAGAGGAACACCUGCGGCGAAGGCGACUACCUGGCCUGUUUCUUGACGCUGAGGCGCGAAAGCUAGGGGAGCAAACGGG
rnacentral:rRNA from 1 species